CUUCAACACUUGAUAGCCGUGUGUCGACACGCCAUUUUGUGUUUUGUUAAAGCGUACGCUGGCCGGUAGUCAUUUGUGCUUUACUUAAAAAGAAUAUCUUGCGUUAUUUCUGCUUGUGGUAGAUUGUUUUAUUUCUUCAGUUAUCCGUGGAAAGAAUAAGGAAUGGAUGACAGCAGAGAAAAAGAACGGGACAGGUCGAGGCGCGGUGACAGACCCUCUAGAUUCUCUGAUGCAAUUCGGGAUAGAUCCGGAGACCGGAAUCAUCACUCUGAAGGAAAAAGAUUAUUUGUUUCUAACAUACCAUACGAGUUCCGAUGGACAGAGUUAAAAGAUUUGUUCAAAGACAAGGUUGGAGAUGUUGCUUAUGUAGAAUUAUAUCAUGACGACAAUGGAAAGCCAAAAGGUUGUGGUGUUGUUGAAUUUACUACUACAGAAGCCAUGAAAAAAGCAUUAUUUAUUAUGCAUAGAUAUGAAUUAAAUGGGAGGAAACUUGUUUUAAAAGAAGAAACUGGGAAUGAACGAAGCCGCUCUAAUAAUCCAAGAUCAGGUGGUAGCAGUGGUGGAGGUGGCAGGAAUAAUCGUGAAGACAAAGAAGGAUGGAACAUGAAUAAACCACGACAACCAGAAAAUUUCAACACAUAUGGCUUAAGUCUUCAAUUCUUGGAGUCUAUUAAUGUCCAGCCUCCAUUGAUGAAGAAAGUUUUCGUAGCAAAUCUUGACUACAAAGCAGAUAGACCAAAAAUCAAGGAGAUUUUCAAAAUGGCUGGAAAAGUUCGUAAUAUUGACUUGGCAGUUGAUAAAGAUGGCAAUAGCAGAGGCUUUGCUGUCAUUGAAUAUGAUCAUCCUGUUGAAGCUGUUCAGGCUAUUUCAAUGUUUGACAAGCAAAUGUUGUAUGAUCGAAGAAUGACAGUCCGUAUGGACAGGGGUUCAGAUAAAGUAGAAGUGAGACUGCCUGAAGGUUUAAAGAAUAUUGGUCUAGGACUUGGACCUAACGGUGAACCUUUAAGAGAUGUUGCAAGGAAUCUCCCACAGCCAACACCAACAAAUAAUUUAACAAAUCUAACAAGUGCAGGAACAAGUUUAGGGGCAAGUGUGUUGGGGGGUGUUCCAGCUGCCACUGUUGCCUUGAAUGGUUUGGGGCAAAGCCUCAAUGCAAAUACUUUGGGAAAUAACUCGGGUCUUGGUGGGGGUUUAAGCUUACAGGCUCUCGGCUUAACAGGUCUAGGAGCACUACAAAACCAGUUACUGCAACAAGGUAUUACAGCAAAUGACCUAGUUAGCUCAGUGUUAACACAAGCACAGGCGAACGUUGGCUCAAACAAUUUGGGAAUGGGUGGACCAGAUCUCUCUGCAAAUGUUAUGGCCAACAAUCCAAUGUCAAAUAAUGUGCUUGGCCCAAAUAAUAACCUUGGCAGCGGUCCUCAUUCAGGAACCAAUAGGCAGAUGCAACAUAGUAAUGUUUCAAGUGGCCAGGGUUAUGGUAGAGAGAAUCCUAUACAAACAUCUACUCGAGACAAGCAAUCUGACAUGGUCAUCAUCAGCAAUCUUCCACCAACAGUAACUUGGCAGCUAAUUCGUGAGAAGUUCAGUGAAUGUGGAGAAGUGAAGUUCGCCGAAAUGACGUCAUCAGAUACAGCGAUUGUACGAUUCCAUAAAGAGUGGGAUGCCGAGAGAGCAGUCAAAAUGUUUGACAGAACCAGAAUUGACGGAAGGACUAUUGACGUGAGGUUCUUCUAAUUGCUGUAUAACAAGGGUUGUCAUAUCGAAGUUGGUCUAUCGGAAAACAUCUUUCUUCGUCUUUGUCUGCUUGCCGCAGCUGAAGUUUUGACCUUUGGUCCAAUUGACAUUGAUUCUUGAAUUAAUUGUAUUUAAGUUUAGAGUAAGACUAGACCUUGAUUGUUUUUUUUCAUUUAAAUUUUUGUAAAACUAAUUUUCUGCAAAGUGGAUAUUUCAUUUCGUUCAUAUUCCUUUGUCGAUUGUCGUUAACACUUAGGGGAGUUGACCUUCUCAGAUACUAAUUUUAUUGACAAUGUUUUAAGAAAACGCUCAGGCAUACUGUAGUUUUAUACGGAUAGGUUGCACGGAAGGAAAUCGGCAAUGUCAUUCCGAAGUUUGACAUUUGGUAGAGACUGCAUAUUGGUUUGGUGAAUUGUCAGUGUCGUCGAUUGAUUCUGGUCAUGUGGUCUAAUCAUUUGGUAUUCGGGACUAUACCCAAUGCUGGAUAAAUUAGUAGCAAUAUUGUAAAAUAUUUAAGAAAAUUAGUAGUUUAAUUAUAACCUCUAUUAAAAGUGAAAACUUUGUUAAAUGUUGUCUAAGCAUUAUUAUUGUGAAAAUUGUUUCUUCGUCGCAACACAACCGAUUUACGUGGUAUUUCCAUGGAGAUAUCUGGUAGCAAAUUAUAUAGGAAUGUGUAGCAGCGUAAUCGUAAAGACACCUAAUUUCUUCCAGCAUUGAAAUAUGUAAUAUAAUGGUUUUAAUUUAAACAGAGUUUCCUACAAUUGAGACAUCUACACAUUUUUAUUGUAGCAAAAAUCGAACUUCAACCCGUUUUCCUGUCCGUGUAAAUUGCGAACGGUUCUCGCGCUUAUGAAUAAAUCAAUUUGAAUAAUUCUAGAAUAAAAUAUGAUAUUGCUGUCAAAUAUCUUUGAUAUGUAGUCAAUAAACGGAUGCUUUUAAAUGUUGGAUUAUUUUAUUAAAGUUGUUACAGCUCUGCCAUCGUAUUGUAUUGCUAUAACAAAUACUUCUAAACAGCGUUUUGAGUGAAUUUUUCUUUGAUAAUGUACAACAAGGCAGCGGAAGCAAGGACGAGUGAAACAGAAUGGAAUAGAAUGGAUCGAGGGUCGGAAUAUUGCAUGUUUUCGGAGAUUUUACCCUUUUAUGUAAGAAGUUUGAGCAUUGCAUUUGAGCUUGGGAUUGACUAUCGUAAUUAAGGUAUCUAACAGAUUGUGUACAGCGAAAAUGAAGAUGGAAAUGUUGCUUACGAGUGUCGAGUUGUGAUCUUUAGAUAAUAGAAUAUAUAUCAAUGGCAUCCUUGGUAUAUCCUAGAUAUUAAUUACAUCAACAACGCCUUGUUUUAGAAAGGCUUCGAACACUUCAGUUGUUCGUUUGACAUAAUUUUUUUAUCAUUUAAGAAUACAUGCAGAUUUUAUAAAUUGUUUCAACAUGUAAUAUGUUGAGGUGAGAAGACUCUUGUUAAAUCGUCAUCAGAGCCUUUAUUCGUUAUAAUGGAUAAGGUGUGAAAUAACAAAACUUGUAAGGGGCCCUAAGCAAGUCCUACCCUUUGUCAUAAGUUGUUUGAAGAAAAACGACUUGAAAAAAAAACAUGAUUCCAUCCUUGACUUCGGAAGUACUAGUCUUGAAAUCAUUUUAGAUGGAUUACAGGAAAGAAUCCGAGCAAAGGAAGUAAAAAAAACGGGAAUGUACCAAACACUCAGAAGCACGAAGGCUGAAGGACCGCAAGGAGAUAUUGAAGAGUGAAAACAAGAAUGGUUAUUAAUUUUGAAAUAAAUGACAUUUCAAAUUUU